AUUGAACGCUGGCGGCAGGCUUAACACAUGCAAGUCGAGCGGGGUGAUGGUGCUUGCACUAUCACUUAGCGGCGGACGGGUGAGUAAUGCUUAGGAAUCUGCCUAUUAGUGGGGGACAACAUCUCGAAAGGGAUGCUAAUACCGCAUACGUCCUACGGGAGAAAGCAGGGGAUCACUUGUGACCUUGCGCUAAUAGAUGAGCCUAAGUCGGAUUAGCUAGUUGGUGGGGUAAAGGCCUACCAAGGCGACGAUCUGUAGCGGGUCUGAGAGGAUGAGCCGCCACACGGGGACUGAGACACGGCCCAGACUCCUACGGGAGGCAGCAGUGGGGAAUAUUGGACAAUGGGCGAAAGCCUGAUCCAGCCAUGCGGCGGGUGUGAAGAAGGCCUUAUGGUUGUAAAGCACUUUAAGCGAGGAGGAGGCUCUUUUGGUUAAUACCCAAGAUGAGUGGACGUUACUCGCAGAAUAAGCACCGGCUAACUCUGUGCCAGCCGCCGCCGUAA
rnacentral:rRNA from 1 species